AGUAUCCAACAUUUAUUCUGACAUGUAGUCCAGCCAAAAUGUGUCUACUCUGCCGUGCCGUGCAGAUACUGUGCAAAUCUAACGACUGCCGUGCAGAUACUGUGCAAAAAAGCUGAAGCAUGCAACAAAAAAACAUUAGCAAUAAAAAUUCAGCCAUUGGCGUAGACCCAAUUUUCGCUCGUAGAUAAUUAGUUUUCGCCGAGAGCAUGAUCAUAGUCAAAUCAGCCGAGUUGUACUCGAGUCAUGUCCUAAUCGAUUAUCACCUUCUGCAAGCAUAUAAAAAACACACUUUAUGAAGGUUGAUUCGACGUCUGGUGCCUUCUUUUUCAUUGUAUUUCGGACGGGUUGUUGCAACAUAGUACAUGUAUACAUAGUUCAAUAGGACAUAAUUAGCAACAGAAUACCUAUACUACUCCGGGAGGCAGCAAGGCUGGUCGGUGCCAAGAGAAGGAUUAGGAGGUAUAUGCCUUCAUGCUGCUCAUGGCUAGGAACACCUUUUUUCUGUGUGGCGAGAAAAACCUACCUGUUAUAUAUACUAUGUAUAGUGUACUUUCCGUGGAGCAACCUGACACAUAUCUGUAUUGCACAGUCGAAAUUACUAUAUUGUGUAUAACAUAUGGUUGCAUACCUCAACGUGUGUUUAUAAAAGGUCCAGAUUUUCCUGGUCAUGGGACGACACUGCCUAGAACAAUCCCACGCUGCCUCCAUGCCCAUGAUGUCUAGAGCUAGUCAUCUGGUCAUGUUGCUUUAUCAGGCCAAGUCUUCAUAUCAGCAAGUUUGUGACCGGCCUGCAGCUAGGGCAUGCGACAUGGGUUGAUUUAAUUGACCGUCUCACUCAUCCAUGGGUGUUUGAUGGCCAUCGGUUCAUUGAUGCAAUAUUCCCCUAGGCUCCCAGUCUUAAUCUGAUCUGCCAUUGCUACAAAUGCGUCAAAGGCACACAGACCAUACAAUGAGGAGAGGCCAUGGGGACGCAGAGGCAACAAAUCCUCCUUGAGCCAAGGGACAUGGAUCAAUUGGACGGUUAGAGAAUGGGAUGGCAGCGAGAUCAAAACUCCUACCCCACCAGGAGGUAGUGGCAGAGAAGAUGGGUUUCGUGAGAGGAAGGAAGGAGAUAAAAAGAAAUAAGGAGAGGAAGGAGAUAAAAGAGAGGACGGUUCCAUUUUUUCAGCUGGGCCAACCGUGAUUUCGGGAGAGAAGGAAGGAUAUAAAGAGAGGACUUCAGGAAUUUUUUUAUCCAACGGUUAUAGAUGGAUCUCUAUACAUGGCUGCUGGUCUAUUUAUUUUUUUGAACUUGAUGGCGGCUAGUCUAUACAACCGAGAAUUGUUUUUCUCGAUAGACAACCGAGACAUAAUGAUAUAUACAUGAAUUGAUCUACACCAUAAUAAUUCAGUCCCACCAGAUUAACGGCUCCUAAUUACUGAUUAACGUGAGAAUUUCUAGGAAGUCAGAAAUUAGUAUAGGUAGAUAUAGAUAGAUAGAUAGAUGGAUAGAUGGAUAGAUGGAUAGAUAUCCUACUUCGCAUCUUCUUACGCUAGAGCAUCAUCUUUUGCAGCUAAAUAGAGGCUUGACCGAUGGAGUAUGGCCGAAGUCACUGGUUGCCUCUUUGCAGCGUGCAUGGUAGAGUAAACUUGUUUUGUUCAGUGAAUCUACUAGCAAUAAUUGUCCUAAUUGAUGGUGCAGAUUCCCGUCAGUACCCUCGGUAGGGUACUUAGUGUUGAUUCCCGGCGCAGCUCGAGGCCGUUGGAAAGGCACCGUUCAGGCGACGUUGAUCGCCGAGCGGAAACGGAAGAGGGUCGUCGCUGAGGAGCAAAAGAAGAGGGAGGCUAAUGAGACCAUCGGAAAGUGGUUUCCCUCGACCUCCUCGAACGAAGAUCUCAAGAGGCUGAAGGCGGAGAGGUUGUUCCCAGUGGAUCUGGAGCACUGGGUACCUGAACAUGAGGUCUCGUCGACGUCGGCCGCCAGCGAGCGCGUGCUCUAUCAAGAUUUCUUUGGUCGUGGGCUUGGGUUCAGCUGCACAGGUUUGUGCACGGGCUAUUCUUAUUCUCCGGCUGUUAGCUCCAUCACCUAUUGACAAAUGGAAUUCACCACAUCGCCAACUUCAUCACCUUCUAUGAGUGUUACAUUGGGACGGCUCCUCGCUUUGAGCCGUUUCGCCACUUCUUCUACAUGCAGGUGCAGACAAACGACAAAGCCAUCCACAACCUUGGAGUAGUUAGUCUGCAUCUCCGACUAACCUCCUAGUUUUUUCCCGUGGAUCAAUCAUAGUCUUUUCGAUGAGUAAGAAUAUUAAACCCAACGAGGAGCAGAAGGAAUUGAUAAGUAGUUUUCAGCAAUGGUUCAUUGUAAAUGUUGUAAAGAAAAUUUGAUAGGUUAUGUGGUAGCAAGAUAAUUAGUAGCAAGGUAAAUAGUAACAAAAAGCAACAGAAUGCAGCAAGUGGCCCAAUCCCUAUGUAGACUAAGUACUCCCUCCGUCCCAAAAUAAGUUAGUACUAAAGUUAGUACAAAGUUGAGACGCUUAUUUAGGAAUGAGGGACUGCAAGCCAGUUGUGUUUCUUGUAGGGACUAAAUCUUGAGUACAUACGAGAAUCUCGCAAGCUACUUUCACCAUGAUUCAUUAAGUUAUCGUUCAUGGAUUUGAUAAGUGUUGUUGUGGAUACCCUUGUCAUUGAAAUUUUGGGUUAAUAGUCUAUUGGUUAACUUUACUUUCAAGUGUAAUUUAGAAGUAAAAAUAAUUUUGAGAAAAGUUGCCUAUACCUUUUCAAAAAGAGAUGGAUAACUAAGGACCUUGUUGUUGCAUGUAUGAUGCUAAGGGACUUCAUGUACAUCUAGAAUGUGGACAACCCCUAUUUCUGUGUAUGUGAUAAAGGUUGGGUUGCCUAGACCAAUCCUUCGUAGGAAAGAGUCCAGUAAUGAUGCGCACUUUAUCUCACACGUCUGUCCACAUCUGACUAGUACAAGCUCACCUAUUACUUUUAUAUGUCCCAUAUCGAACAGUGCCCCCGCCCCACAUCUGACUAGCGGAUUGAUACGUCCAUUUUGCAUCAUGUUUUCCUGCUGUUAUUUAUUGUGUUUUGGAUUGUUAUUUCACUUUAUGAUACAUGAUACAAUUCUCAUGCCCUUUUUCUCUUAUUUUGCAAGUUUCAUAUGAAUAGGGAGAUUGUCGGCAGCUGGAAUUCUGGACCAGAAAGGGCUAUAUUAGAGACACCUAUCCUACACAACUCCAAAUGACCUAAAAAUUGACGGAGAAUUAUUUUGAAAUAUAUAAAAAAUUAUUGCCGAAAGAAUCAUCAGCUGGGGACCCACUAGGCAGCCACAAGCCUGGGGGCGCGCCCUACCCCUCAAGGCGUGCCCCUGGACUUUGUGGGGCCCUGGCAGGCCUAUGAAGCCCAUCUUCCGCUAUAAGGUGUCAUUUGACCUAGAAAAGAAUCAAGAGGAAGGUUUCGGGACGAAGCGUCGCCGUUUCGAGGAGGAACCUGGGCAGGAGCACUUUUGCACUCCGGCGUAGCGAUUCCGACGGGGAAACUUCCCUUCGGAAGGGGGAAAUCGAAGCUAUCGACAUCACCAACAAUCCUCUCAUCGUGGGAGGACCAAUCUUUAUCAACAACUUCACCAGCACCAUCUUAUCUCAAAUCCUAGUUCAUCUCUUGUAUUCAAUAUUUGUCUCGAAACCUCAGAUUGGUAUAUGUGGGUUGCUAGUAGUGUUGAUUACAUCUUGUACCUAAUGUUGAAUCCUUUCUCCCACAAGUACAACUUGUAAAAGUCGUAAGCUUCACCCAACGUAUCAAAACUGGUACCUAAUGCAGGAAAUAUCACAAUGUCCCUUGGAUUAUCUGUGAAGCCAUGUAUUGCCUUCUCCAAGACACUCUUGCGGCUAGGACAAGGCGUCCUUCCGAGAGCGGCAGCUCCGACCAUGACUCCACAAUCAAAAGUUCAGGAGUCACUACAUCAGUGCCAAACAUAUUCAAAAAAUUGUGUGUUUUUCUUUCUAUGCAGUGGAUCCGUUAUUCUCAAUUACUUGGUCUGCUCUUAAUAUUUCUUUACUAAUCACGUUAAGUCAAAUAGCCACAUGCUAGCAAAUCAUUUGUUUUUCAUAAAUUUAAUGGUCAUUGCCUUUUUUUAAUAAUUUAACAUAAAUGAGGUGAAUUCGAAUCACUCUCGUAUUUCACAGCAGAACGGGCUCAAAACAAUACUUAAUAGACCUGAUAAGUGUACACGUGUAGCACAAACACAUGGCAACUUCGAAUAUUUUUUUGAUAGUAAGUUUAGUGACUCGAGGAUGACAACUUUUUUUGGAUGGCAAAUUACCUUUUUUAUGUUUUUUAAUAGCAUUUUUAGUUGUAAAAAACAUCAGGGCCGGAGUACUUCCUGCCACACGUUCUGCACUCGUCAUUUGGGUACUUAAUUGCUUUUACUAGUAGCCUCACUGAACCAUGGUAUGUUAGUUCAGCUUUACUGCCACGAGGCAAGGGCUAUCAAACAGCUAAAUACAAUCAGGUAUUCCCUCCGUCCCAAAAUGUAAGACGUUUUUUGAUACUAUGAUAGUGUCAAAAGUCGUCUUAUAUUUUGGGACGGAGAGAGUAGAAUUUAAAAUGCACUCACGGGCUAGAAAAUGCUUCAACUAAUCAUGUGCGGACUUUAUUUUUAUGUUCUCUCUUUUACACAGGAUAUCUUCAACAUGGGAAGUUUUAGCAUAGCAGGUUGUUGCCUAUGUAGUGUUCGUGCAUAUGGGAAUUGUUGCCUACAUCGUUCACAAUGCCGCAAAAUAAACUUGCUCAGUUCUCUGGAUGUUUUGGCCUACAUGAUACGAGACACAAGCAGUGCUAGAUUUUACUUUUUAUUUUAUUUUGUUGUGACGAAGCAGUGCUAGAGUUUUGCCCACUAGUUUUCAUCCCCUGUUGCUAGCUCCUGCUGCUGCUGCCAAACUCGUGCUCGUCCCCGUGAUUUUUAUGCGUCCGGAAGAUUUUGAUCCCACCCCUAAAAUCUCGCAGAAAUGGUGCCAAAUUUGUGCACGAAAAGUUGAGCUCUUGUUCUUAUGAAUUGGGCGAGAUAUUGAGUUUCGCUCAUUGAGUUCCCCACUCGUAUUUGGCCACUCGUCCCCCUAACACCGCCACAUCGGCCAAAAACCACAUCCUCUACCUCGUGUGCAUGGCCAAAAUUAGCAGGGGAUCGUGUGCACUAACCUUCUGCCGUGAAUGACUGGGUGCACCUCACUGUCCAUAUCAUCGCCUUGGCACGUCACUGACACUCCUUUCCUCCUCCCUCUUUCUCUUCUCCGUCGAGCACGCUCGCUCCUAGUCGGGCCUAUCUGGUUCGUCGCUGCCGCUUUGGUACUUCCAACCCUGCGUUUUCCUUCGCUUUUCUGUGCGACACCUCUACCAAGUACCAACCAUGAUCGCGGAGUCUGAAAAGGGAUGGCCUUAGGCCAUGGCAAAAGUUAUGGUGGCUUAGGGCCCGUCUUAAAUGAGUGCCCGAUAUAUUUACAUAGCUAAACAAAUUAUAAACUCUGAUUUGUAGANNNNNNNNNNNNNNNNNNNNNNNNNNNNNNNNNNNNNNNNNNNNNNNNNNNNNNNNNNNNNNNNNNNNNNNNNNNNNNNNNNNNNNNNNNNNNNNNNNNNNNNNNNNNNNNNNNNNNNNNNNNNNNNNNNNNNNNNNNNNNNNNNNNNNNNNNNNNNNNNNNNNNNNNNNNNNNNNNNNNNNNNNNNNNNNNNNNNNNNNNNNNNNNNNNNNNNNNNNNNNNNNNNNNNNNNNNNNNNNNNNNNNNNNNNNNNNNNNNNNNNNNNNNNNNNNNNNNNNCAUGUAUAUUAGAAUUUCAUUUGUCUCAUAUAACCGGAUACACAUACUGUAUUAAGACUAUCUGCUAAUAAAAUUAUGGUUAAGUGCAUGGAUUAUUCAAUCAUGCAUGUCAGUGACAUCGUCAGUUUAUUACAGGCCGGACUAUGUGCAAGUUUAAUGGGCUCUCUUCCUGCAAAAAUAAAAACCUAAUUAGCUCUCUCGGCACAGGGUGUUACUCUUGAAAUCUCGAGUGUUGUACUUCUCAACCUUUCUCCACUGACGUGCUCACGUGUUUGUGAUUUUAAAGUGAAUGCCUUAGGCAGUGAGCAUUUGCCUUUCACUUCAAAUAGUUGGUUUAAUUGGUUAAUUAUAACCGGGGUUGACAUGCAAAAAAAAAUAUAACCAAGGUUGAAAUGCAAAGAACUUACUGGCCCUAUUGUCCAAGAUAAUUAUUUUCCAUUUGCAUCUCCACUGAGGAUUGACGGACCUUCCAAAUUCAUGCAUAGAAAAAUGAAGCAUUGCACACAAGGUAAAUCAUAUGCACCAAUACAAUAUACUAGAAGCAUAUGCGCGCCUUGGCACUCCGUUUUUUAACUUUAUCGGCCUUUUUUCAUACCUUUGAUGCUUGGCUUUCUCCUUGUAUGCAUGCAACGCUUGCACGCUGUAUUGGACAUUUACAAAUACAGCUAUUGCAUCAAAAUUUCUAGCAGGUGUGUAGGCGAGGGGUUAUCGCUUACCGGCAGGUACGCCACCACGCAAAAAGGAGCAGCCACAGCUACCCACUGAGAUUAGAGGUUGUAGAGACAGUUGGGCUUCCGGGAUAUACAUUGUUUCGAUGCUUUCGAGGUAAAUAUGGAGCGACCGGAGAGCCCUUUGUGGUCAGGUACUGCAGGCCAAAUACUACCCUGACGGCAACAUAUUUGGGGCCGGCUGCACCAAAGGACGGCGUUUCGUAUGCUUGGAGGAGCCUUCUACAUGGGCUUGAGCUAGUAAAACAGGGGUAUGUUUGGCGUAUCGGCGAUGGUCAGAGUCUGAACACCUGGGACGAUCCAUGGCAACCAAAGGCAUGGUGUAGGCGUGUCACAACGCCGAGGAAUGGGGUUCUUUCUGCUGGAUAAAGCAAGUGAACUAGGUAAUGAAUCUGAUCACUGCUAAAUGGGAUGAGCAGCUUGUUAGGGAUGUCCCCAUCAAAAAAAAGAAAGCUUGUUAGGGAUGUCUUUCACCCGGAAGAUGCCAACCUCGUCCUCGGAAUCCCGCCGAGAGAAGGUGUUGAAGAUUUCAUAGCCUGGCACUUUGAUGACAAAGGCAUGCAUUCUGUCUAGCAGGCCUAUAAGCUAGUACUCCCUCCGUUAAGAAAUAUAAGAGCGUCUAGACGGCAAAGCGCUCUUAUAUUUCUUUACAGAGGGAGUACAAGUUAAGUUAGAGGAAAUUGCAAGGAAUGGAGAUGCUGGCUCACAGAAUGUAGGGAUGCGAGGACAAGUUGUGAAGGCGUGCUUGGAAGAUGCCGUGUCAGAACAAGAUUAAGAUGUUUACAUGGCGACUGGCACGUAACUCUGUUGCAACACGGACAAAUCUUGUGACCAGAGGUGUGCAAAUAGAGGACACUAAAUGUAUUUUCUGUGGCAGAAAUGAGGAGGAGGGUGCUGGGCACCUCUUUGUCUGUCUGGUGUGAGGAAGUGAAGGAAAUCUGGCCGGCCAUGGGAAGGAAAUGAGAAGGUGCGACAGGCCGGGCGCUUGAGGGAUUUGAUACUGUUGUAGUAGCCGCUGUCGACUAUCUAUGGCCGUUGCCAAUGGAGCAGACCCUAUAUUUUUGGUGGGAAUGGUGGAAUGAGAGGAAUCGGGCGAGAAAGAAAGAAAGAAGGGCGGCUGCGCCCUGAUGAGAUAGAUAGUUCACCGAACAACCAUGGAGUUGUGGGCAUGGAGACCUCCAGGUGGACAUGCUGAGACCGAAUAUUGAUGGAGUCCAGCCAAAAUGUGUCUACUCUGCACCGCACCGAGAAAUUCUCGUCACGGGACAAAGCCUUCGGCAACCAGUAACGGAGCCAAAUGUUUGUCCCUCCCGCGCAGAGGAACAGUCGCGGAAAACAGGCGGAAAGACUUGUCAAAUGAAAAAUUAUACAAACUGGAUGUCAGACAAUCUACAAUAAAGCAUUACAUCAACCAUGACACAGCAGAUGAACCAGCUUGAAAUUUAUCCAAACGACAAAAAACAAGUCUUCAGACUCUGUCACACACGCUAGGUAAUAACAACAUAACAAUUCACCAAGGUUCCGACUGACUAUAUAACGAUAAUACGAGCAAAGCUACUGCAGAAACGAGUACGACAGACGGUCUAAAGAGCGAACAAGACGGCUUCUGCUACAACCAAACCAUACGAAUACCAUGCCUCUCGAAAGGGCAGAUUCAGAGGGCGCGCGACCAAGACGAACCAAUCACCUGAACUUUGGCUUCUUCGAGGGUGGCCCUCCCUUGGAGCUACUGGGAGGUGGGCGAGACUUGUUGCCGCUGCUGCUGCCACCACGCUGCGGCAGCGGAGCAUGCUUGCUGCUGCUAGGACCACCACGCUGCGGUGGUGCGCCGGACUUGCUGAAGGUCUUGACCUUGCGGCGCCUCCUUUCUUCCUCACUGUCAGACUCUGCGCCGUGAUCCCGGUCCGCGUUGGUCGCCUCCCGCUCCAGCUCGUCCCAGGUCUUGCCCUUCUCUUCCUCAGAGUCUUCAUCAGAAUCCUCUUCCUCAUCCUCGUCUGAUUCCACCAAGGACGCGCUGUCGGAGUCUUCUUCUUCCGAUUCAGACUCGGGCUCAGCAUCAGAAGGCUCGUACCCCUGGUCUGAUUCCUCUGUUUCCUCUGCCUCAGA
rnacentral:lncRNA from 1 species